AAUUAAAUGCCUGAAAAAGGAUUACUUUGAUAGAGUAAAUCAUGUAUUGUAAAAUACUUUAAUUA
rnacentral:tRNA from 1 species